GUGGGGAAUUGUUCGCAAUGGGCGCAAGCCUGACGACGCAACGCCGCGUGGAGGAUGAAGAUCUUCGGGUCGUAAACUCCUUUCGAUCGGGACGAAUGAUCGGUGACCUAAUACGUCAUCGGAAUGACGGUACCGAGAGAAGAAGCCCCGGCUAACUCCGUGCCAGCAGCCGCGGUAAUACGGGGGGGGCAAGCGUUGUUCGGAAUUACUGGGCGUAAAGGGCGCGUAGGCGGCCUUCUAAGUCGGACGUGAAAUCCCUCGGCUUAACCGAGGAACUGCGUCCGAUACUGAAAGGCUUGAAUCCGGGAGAGGGAUGUGGAAUUCCAGGUGUAGCGGUGAAAUGCGUAGAUAUCUGGAGGAACACCGGUGGCGAAGGCGGCAUCCUGGACCGGCAUUGACGCUGAGGCGCGAAAGCUAGGGGAGCAAACGGGAUUAGAAACCCUGGUAGUCC
rnacentral:rRNA from 1 species